GACGAACGCUGGCGGCGUGCCUAAUACAUGCAAGUAGAACGCACAGUUUAUACCGUAGCUUGCUACACCAUAAACUGUGAGUUGCGAACGGGUGAGUAACGCGUAGGUAACCUGCCUGGUAGCGGGGGAUAACUAUUGGAAACGAUAGCUAAUACCGCAUAAUAUUGAUUAUUGCAUGAUAAUUGAUUGAAAGAUGCUAUUGCAUCACUACCAGAUGGACCUGCGUUGUAUUAGCUAGUAGGUGAGGUAACGGCUCACCUAGGCGACGAUACAUAGCCGACCGGAGGGGGUGAUCGGCAACACUGGGACUGAGCAACGGCCCAGACUCCUACGGGAGGCAGCAGUAGGGAAUCUUCGGAAAUGGACGAAAGUCUGACCGAGCAACGCCGCGGGAGUGAAGAAGGUUUUCGGAUCGUAAAGCUCUGUUGUAAGAGAAGAACGGGUGUGAGAGUGGAAAGUUCACACUGUGACGGUAUCUUACCAGAAAGGGACGGCUAACGACG
rnacentral:rRNA from 1 species